AGAGUUUGAUCCUGGCUCAGGACGAACGCUGGCGGCGUGCCUAAUACAUGCAAGUCGAGCGGACCGACGGGAGCUUGCUCCCUUAGGUCAGCGGCGGACGGGUGAGUAACACGUGGGUAACCUGCCUGUAAGACUGGGAUAACUCCGGGAAACCGGGGCUAAUACCGGAUGCUUGAUUGAACCGCAUGGUUCAAUCAUAAAAGGUGGCUUUUAGCUACCACUUACAGAUGGACCCGCGGCGCAUUAGCUAGUUGGUGAGGUAACGGCUCACCAAGGCGACGAUGCGUAGCCGACCUGAGAGGGUGAUCGGCCACACUGGGACUGAGACACGGCCCAGACUCCUACGGGAGGCAGCAGUAGGGAAUCUUCCGCAAUGGACGAAAGUCUGACGGAGCAACGCCGCGUGAGUGAUGAAGGUUUUCGGAUCGUAAAACUCUGUUGUUAGGGAAGAACAAGUACCGUUCGAAUAGGGCGGUACCUUGACGGUACCUAACCAGAAAGCCACGGCUAACUACGUGCCAGCAGCCGCGGUAAUACGUAGGUGGCAAGCGUUGUCCGGAAUUAUUGGGCGUAAAGCGCGCGCAGGCGGUUUCUUAAGUCUGAUGUGAAAGCCCCCGGCUCAACCGGGGAGGGUCAUUGGAAACUGGGGAACUUGAGUGCAGAAGAGGAGAGUGGAAUUCCACGUGUAGCGGUGAAAUGCGUAGA
rnacentral:rRNA from 1 species